AGGAACACUUGUUUCAACUGUGGCCAAUAUGGCCACUGGAGGAAUGAGUGUCCACACCCCAGGAAACCCCAGGAAACCCCACACACCCCAACAACCCCACAAUUCUCAAAAUAUGCCCUGUAGGCAAGAACAACACCAGACCCACUCCCAACACCACUGGCCAGCAUAUCGCUUAGUUCAGGACUUUAGAGCCCUGAAUAGUUUAAUUGUGCCCAUUUCACCCAUUGUCCCUGACGUGACAUCCCUCAUUACAGCCAUUCCACAUGAUGCCACUUGCUUCACUGUCAUUGAUUUAAGUAAUGCAUUUUUUCUAUACCUAUUGAUCAAGAGACACAGCUACUUAUGGUUUUUACUUUUUGAAGGCUGUCAGUUUACCUGGACACGCUUACCCCAAGGCUAUGUGGACUCCCCAGCUGUUUAUUCGCUGGUACUCCAACAUACUCUAAAAACAUGGACCCCCGGUCAUGGUUCCGUCCUUUUGCAAUAUGUUG